AUUGAACGCUGGCGGCAUGCCCUACACAUGCAAGUCGAACGGCAGCACGGGGCAACCUGGUGGCGAGUGGCGAACGGGUGAGUAAUGCAUCGGAACGUACCUUUCAGUGGGGGAUAACGUAGCGAAAGUUACGCUAAUACCGCAUAUUCUGUGAGCAGGAAAGCAGGGGAUCGCAAGACCUUGCGCUGAUUGGGCGGCCGAUGUCAGAUUAGCUAGUUGGUGAGGUAAAGGCUCACCAAGGCGACGAUCUGUAGCGGGUCUGAGAGGAUGAUCCGCCACACUGGAACUGAGACACGGUCCAGACUCCUACGGGAGGCAGCAGUGGGGAAUUUUGGACAAUGGGGGCAACCCUGAUCCAGCCAUGCCGCGUGAGUGAAGAAGGCCUUCGGGUUGUAAAGCUCUUUCGGCCGGGAAGAAAUCGCACGGGCUAAUACCCUGUGUGGAUGACGGUACCGGAAUAAGAAGCACCGGCUAACUACGUGCCAGCAGCCGCAGUAACAC
rnacentral:rRNA from 1 species